rnacentral:rRNA from 1 species
CCUACGGGAGGCAGCAGUGGGGGAUAUUGCACAAUGGGGGGAACCCUGAUGCAGCGACGCCGCGUGGGUGAAGAAGCGCCUCGGCGCGUAAAGCCCUGUCAGCAGGGAAGAAAAUGACGGUACCUGAAGAAGAAGCCCCGGCUAACUACGUGCCAGCAGCCGCGGUAAUACGUAGGGGGCAAGCGUUAUCCGGAUUUACUGGGUGUAAAGGGGGCGCAGACGGGGUUGCAAGCCAGGAGUGAAAGCCCGGGGUCCAACCCCGGGACUGCUCUUGGAACUGCGUGGCUGGAGUGCAGGAGGGGCAGGCGGAAUUCCUGGUGUAGCGGUGAAAUGCGCAGAGAUAAGGAGGAACACCAGUGGCGAAGGCGACCUACUGGACUGCAACUGACGUUGAGGCCCGAAAGCGUGGGGAGCAAACAGGAUUAGAUACCCGAGUAGUC